GAGGAAGGGGGGGGACGGCGAACGGAGGCUGGUGGGGGAUGGGCAUCUUCGUGGGUGGGGGAGGGGUCUCCUGAGGGGAAAUUAAUAUUAAAACUGAAAAAUCAAGAUGAUAAAACCAAAAUACAUAUAAAGCACAUAAAAUACAUAUAAAACAAUAGAGAAGAGAGAAUGCUUUCAUUCUCUCACAAAUGGGGCCUCUCCUCUUUGAGGGAAAAUUUGGCUCCCCCUCAGAAACCUUCACCAUUUUAAAAGAAUUGGUUAUGUAAUUAACUGAGGCGUUUUUUUCCUGUUCUUCAGUCCCAGAAGGAGAGGUGCCAAUUAUAACCUCGCUAUGUUUGAAAAUCUAUUUGUUUCUUGUCAUACAAUUUUUUUUUUUUAAAUUUCAUAUUUUCCCAUUAUGAGAUAGUCUCCAAGCAGAAUAUUUGAGGGGGGAAAAUAAAUUAAAAACACUGCAUGCAUUAUCAUUGGUGAACAAAACUGGAAGGAACGGGGAAGCAGGGUCAAAAAAGGAAAAUAAAAAAGCCCAGGGGGAAAAAAAGAAUUGCCACUAACCAGCAAGUCAGAUCUGUUGAACAAAAUACUUGAAUAGUAUCACCAAAAUAUGCCCCGUAAGUCAAGCUUUGUAAAAUGGAGCCACUCGUGCCCAGCAGAACUUCUCCCCUCAUACAUUUUAAAAGUGGGGGGUACAUAUUUCCAUACUGAGUUAUCCCCCAAAGUCUUCAUAGAAAAUGUUAAAAGGAUAACCCAUAUUUAUGUAUUAAGCUAUUUAUCGUGUUGACCCAUCUAGCCACAUAUGAGGUGCUUGUUCCUGGGAGACAAUUCUGUUUGUCUCCUUGCUGCAAACCGUUCCAUGUUUUUGUCACUGGAGUUGCUGGCAUCAAAACAAUAGUUGUGCAAAGUUGUCUUACUUAUUAUUACUAUUAUUAUUAAUUUAUAUCCUGCCCAUCUGGCUGGGUUUCCCAGUCUUUACAUAGGGAGUCUCCAGCAGUUGGUCUCAGAGUAGACCCAUUGAAAUCAAUGGAGUGAAUUUAGCCAUGUCCGUCAAUUUCAGUGGGUCUACUCUAAAUAUUGCUUACUUGGGUUCAACGCACCCCCCAAGUUAUUAUGUAGCGAUCAAAACUGUGCUCAGCAUUUGAAACUCAAGCUGGUGUUUUCUGUUUUUGGCUUUCGACAGGAAACAAUGUUCCAGUCCCUGAAGCCGUUUCCUCUUCUGAGCUCACCUGAAAUUAAUACUUUGUUCUGCCAGAUGGGAAUCUCGCUGAGUACCUUGAAAUGGGGUCACACAACCAGUUUCUCUCUUCUUCCACUGCCUAGGAUUAGUAAGCAAGAGGCACCCUGAAUUUUGCAACUUAAUAGCAUAUGCAUGUUAUUUCCUAUAGCACUUCCUGUAAAAAAAAAAGAAGAAGAAAAGAGGUAUCCAGGAGAAAACAGAGUGGAUACAUAUUUUAAGAGGAUUGGAUACAAAAUAAGUUUGAAAUGGCUGGCUUGUUGUGUUCAUUAUUUAUUUGCUUUUAAAGCCUUUACAAAAAACCGACUUUCCUUGUACAAACCUACAGUUUAGCGGCUGACCUCAGAUUAAUAAAAUGC
rnacentral:lncRNA from 1 species